GAUGAACGCUGGCGGCGUGCCUAAUACAUGCAAGUCGAGCGAACAGACGAGGAGCUUGCUCCUCUGACGUUAGCGGCGGACGGGUGAGUAACACGUGGAUAACCUACCUAUAAGACCGGGAUAACUUCGGGAAACCGGAGCUAAUACCGGAUAAUAUAUUUAACCGCAUGGUUCAAUAGUGAAAGACGGUUUUGCUUUCACUUAUAGAUGGAUCCGCGCCGCAUUAGCUAGUUGGUAAGGUAACGGCUUACCAAGGCAACGAUGCGUAGCCGACCUGAGAGGGUGAUCGGCCACACUGGAACUGAGACACGGUCCAGACUCCUACGGGAGGCAGCAGUAGGGAAUCUUCCGCAAUGGGCGAAAGCUUGACGGAGCAACGCCGCGUGAGUGAUGAAGGUCUUCGGAUCGUAAAACUCUGUUAUUAGGGAAGAACAAAUGUGUAAGUAACUAUGCACGUCUUGACGGUACCUAAUCAGAAAGCCACGGCUAACUACGUG
rnacentral:rRNA from 1 species